rnacentral:rRNA from 1 species
GAAGAGUUUGAUCAUGGCUCAGAUUGAACGCUGGCGGCAGGCCUAACACAUGCAAGUCGAACGGUAACAGGAAGCAGCUUGCUGCUUUGCUGACGAGUGGCGGACGGGUGAGUAAUGUCUGGGAAACUGCCUGAUGGAGGGGGAUAACUACUGGAAACGGUGGCUAAUACCGCAUAACGUCGCAAGACCAAAGAGGGGGACCUUCGGGCCUCUUGCCAUCAGAUGUGCCCAGAUGGGAUUAGCUUGUUGGUGAGGUAACGGCUCACCAAGGCGACGAUCCCUAGCUGGUCUGAGAGGAUGACCAGCCACACUGGAACUGAGACACGGUCCAGACUCCUACGGGAGGCAGCAGUGGGGAAUAUUGCACAAUGGGCGCAAGCCUGAUGCAGCCAUGCCGCGUGUAUGAAGAAGGCCUUCGGGUUGUAAAGUACUUUCAGCGGGGAGGAAGGUGUUGUGGUUAAUAACCGCAGCAAUUGACGUUACCCGCAGAAGAAGCACCGGCUAACUCCGUGCCAGCAGCCGCGGUAAUACGGAGGGUGCAAGCGUUAAUCGGAAUUACUGGGCGUAAAGCGCACGCAGGCGGUCUGUCAAGUCGGAUGUGAAAUCCCCGGGCUCAACCUGGGAACUGCAUUCGAAACUGGCAGGCUUGAGUCUUGUAGAGGGGGGUAGAAUUCCAGGUGUAGCGGUGAAAUGCGUAGAGAUCUGGAGGAAUACCGGUGGCGAAGGCGGCCCCCUGGACAAAGACUGACGCUCAGGUGCGAAAGCGUGGGGAGCAAACAGGAUUAGAUACCCUGGUAGUCCACGCCGUAAACGAUGUCUACUUGGAGGUUGUGCCCUUGAGGCGUGGCUUCCGGAGCUAACGCGUUAAGUAGACCGCCUGGGGAGUACGGCCGCAAGGUUAAAACUCAAAUGAAUUGACGGGGGCCCGCACAAGCGGUGGAGCAUGUGGUUUAAUUCGAUGCAACGCGAAGAACCUUACCUGGUCUUGACAUCCACAGAACAUUCCAGAGAUGGAUUGGUGCCUUCGGGAACUGUGAGACAGGUGCUGCAUGGCUGUCGUCAGCUCGUGUUGUGAAAUGUUGGGUUAAGUCCCGCAACGAGCGCAACCCUUAUCCUUUGUUGCCAGCGGUCCGG